rfam:TPA: Bos taurus chromosome 9, whole genome shotgun sequence.
GCAAAAGAUCUAUUCAGAUCUACAAAUAAUUAUAAAGUAAUGUAA